UUUGAUUCAUAUUUUUCAGGGUCUACUCUGCCGAGUACUAAAUCUACUAGGAGUGUGACUGAUUGCCCAAAUAACAUUUCACAAGGGCUUACCCCCGUGGCCUCAUGAGAAGAUGAUCGAUAUGCCAACAUGAGGAUGGCAUCAACCCAUUUGGUGAAGUAAUCUCCCACGACUAGAAGAUAAGAAUUUUUCCUGUGAGUCAUUGGUAAAGGACCUAAUAUAUCCACUGCCCAUCUUUCCAUUGGAGCACCAACCAGGGCUUAUCCCAGUGGGUGGAGAGUUUCCCUGAGACCUUGUAGUAACAGCACAGUUUCCAGAACCACUGGGAGCUGAUGAUUGAUUUGACAAAGAUUCAUCUUGACAGAUUUCUUCAUGGGAUAAAUUUUCUUCUUCUACCGGGACUCUUGGAUUGAAAACAAUCUCUCCCGAAUCUUCUAAAUGACUAUUAUCCCUUGACAUUUUUGCUUUUGGGAGUACUAAUUUAUUCUAUGAUACAAAGAAUUUACUUGUUCAAUUAUUUGUCUUAUGUCCAAUCAGAUAAUGGGAAUGAAAAUUUAUGAAUCCCACUUCUGACACCA